AUUGGGCGUAAGCGCGCGCAGGCGGUUCCUUAAGUCUGAUGUGAAAGCCCACGGCCCUUCCGUGGAGGGUCAUUGGAAACUGGGGGACUUGAGUGCCCAAAAAGAAAACGGAAUUCCCAGUGUAACGGUGAAAUGCCUAGAGAUUUGGAAGAACACCCUGGCGAAAGCGACUCUCUGGUCUGUAACUGACACUGAGGCGCGCAAGCGUGGGGAGCGAACAGGAUUAUAUACCCUGGUAGUCCACACCCCAAACGAUGAGUGCUAAUUGUUAUAGGGUUUCCUCCCCUCAUUGCUGCAGCUAACGCAUUAAUCACUCCGCCUGGGGAGUACGGCCGCCACACUGAUAAUCCUCAGAAUUGAUGGCGGCC
rnacentral:rRNA from 1 species